UACGGGGGGGGCAAGCGUUGUUCGGAAUUACUGGGCGUAAAGGGCGCGUAGGCUGCGGGGCAAGUCGGGUGUGAAAUCUCAGAGCUCAACUCUGAAACUGCACUCGAUACUGCUUUGCUCGAGGACUGGAGAGGAGAUUGGAAUUCACGGUGUAGCAGUGAAAUGCGUAGAUAUCGUGAGGAAGACCAGUGGCGAAGGCGGAUCUCUGGACAGUUCCUGACGCUGAGGCGCGAAGGCCAGGGGAGCAAACGGG
rnacentral:rRNA from 1 species